rnacentral:rRNA from 1 species
CAGCAGCCACGGGAACACAGAGGGUGCGAGCGUUAAUCGGAUUUACUGGGCGUAAAGCGUGCGUAGGCGGCUUUUUAAGUCGGAUGUGAAAUCCCUGAGCUUAACUUAGGAAUUGCAUUCGAUACUGGGAAGCUAGAGUAUGGGAGAGGAUGGUAGAAUUCCAGGUGUAGCGGUGAAAUGCGUAGAGAUCUGGAGGAAUACCGAUGGCGAAGGCAGCCAUCUGGCCUAAUACUGACGCUGAGGUACGAAAGCAUGGGGAGCAAACAGGAUUAGAUACCCCAGUAGUCCCUGUCUCUUAUAC